CCCGUAUGUAAACAACCGAUACUGGCGAUAUCAUUCAGCUACCAACAUGAUCAAAAGAAAUGUUUCUACCAGUUACUCUUGAGUCACCUCCAAGCAUUCCCUUAUCCCAAAUUGAUAUUAAAAGAGAAUGUUGAUGAGCCUGAUCCGUCGAUUCAAAUACCAUAACACAGCCAACCCCAAAAAAACAACAGCAAACAAGUGAGCAAGCUGACAAAGCUGCAACUUCAGGGAGCAAUUAUAAGGGUCAUCAAGAUGGAGCCAGGAUUCAUGAUGCUCGUAUUAGAGGUGCUGGACCAGAGUCUGAGGAAGGGAGUAGAACUCCAAGCUGGUUUGAGUGUGCUUCAACUGCCGGGACAUUUCAAUGCAGAGUUAAAAAGUUUGUUGUCGCCGGGAGGCCAGUCUUUCUCAAACUGCUGACUCUGACCUCCUUGUUUUGAAUGAAGAAGUUCUAACCCUUGCCCAUUUGAUGAGGCAGGAUUUCUUGUGUUCAUUGAUGAGGAGGACCAGGCGCAACCCAACCGCUACUAGGCGACUUAUAUUAUGUUCUGACACAGAGUUAUUUUUGGGCUGGUGACAAGAGGGCUAUUCCCUUAUGUUGUGUGGAGAGUCCAGGAAACCUUCCCGAUUCCCUAAGAACAAUACACUGGCCUUGUGCAAAGUGUUCUCUUGAUUUUCUUAAAUAUUAAAAUAUGAUCUAAACAAUAUCAGGUCAUUUUUGUAUACUUUUGUGAAUGACUUGUUAUUUUAUAAAUACUGAUUUGUACUGUC